ACAGAUAUACGAUGCAAUGAAAGAAAUUAAGCAUCGCAGAGCACACCCUGCAUGAUUUCAUUUACAUGGAGACUGGAAAGAAAGCAAUUGUGAAGGAGGUCAGAAGGAAAGGAUUUCCUGAAGGAUCUCGGCCCAGAGGGUCAUGCUGGGAGUCUUCGCAACUUCACACACUUGAUGCUCUUGAAGGACAGAAUACAGCACGUGUGUCCUGGGGUUCACAUUGAGAUCAGCUCCCUCUGUGAGGAAGGACUUUGAUACCAGUCCACUUGUCCCAAAAUGCAUCGUCUGGAGUCUCAGGCGCUCUGUCUGUGAGUGAGCACUUACCAGGAAGCUGAUGUAGCACAGAGCCAAGCAGAGAAAGAAAGGUGGGUAGCCAGACCUUCUGCUUACCCAAGGGUCUCCCUGUCCCGCUGCCUCACAGCACCCCCUGAGAAAGCCUUAUCAGUUUCUC
rnacentral:lncRNA from 1 species